UACGAUGGGGGCUAGCGUUGUUCGGAAUUACUGGGCGUAAAGCGCACGUAGGCGGAUACUUAAGUUAGGGGUGAAAUCCCAGGGCUCAACCCUGGAACUGCCUUUAAUACUGGGUAUCUCGAGUCCGAGAGAGGUGAGUGGAAUUCCGAGUGUAGAGGUGAAAUUCGUAGAUAUUCGGAGGAACACCAGUGGCGAAGGCGGCUCACUGGCUCGGUACUGACGCUGAGGUGCGAAAGCCAGGGGAGCAAACGGG
rnacentral:rRNA from 1 species